rnacentral:rRNA from 1 species
GACGAACGCUGGCGGCGUGCUUAACACAUGCAAGUCGAACGGAAAGGCCCUGCUUUUGUGGGGUGCUCGAGUGGCGAACGGGUGAGUAACACGUGAGUAACCUGCCCUUGACUUUGGGAUAACUUCAGGAAACUGGGGCUAAUACCGGAUAGGAGCUCCUGCUGCAUGGUGGGGGUUGGAAAGUUUCGGCGGUUGGGGAUGGACUCGCGGCUUAUCAGCUUGUUGGUGGGGUAGUGGCUUACCAAGGCUUCGACGGGUAGCCGGCCUGAGAGGGUGACCGGCCACAUUGGGACUGAGAUACGGCCCAGACUCCUACGGGAGGCAGCAGUGGGGAAUAUUGCACAAUGGGCGGAAGCCUGAUGCAGCAACGCCGCGUGCGGGAUGAAGGCCUUCGGGUUGUAAACCGCUUUCGCCUGUGACGAAGCGUGAGUGACGGUAAUGGGUAAAGAAGCACCGGCUAACUACGUG